rnacentral:rRNA from 1 species
UUCCAGACUCCUACGGGAGGCAGCAGUGGGGAAUAUUGCACAAUGGGGGAAACCCUGAUGCAGCGACGCCGCGUGAGUGAAGAAGUAUUUCGGUAUGUAAAGCUCUAUCAGCAGGAAAGAAAAUGACGGUACCUGACUAAGAAGCCCCGGCUAACUACGUGCCAGCAGCCGCGGUAAUACGUAGGGGGCAAGCGUUAUCCGGAUUUACUGGGUGUAAAGGGAGCGUAGACGGUGAAGCAAGUCUGAAGUGAAAGGCGGGGGCUCAACCCCCGGACUGCUUUGGAAACUGUUUGACUGGAGUGCAGGAGAGGUAAGUGGAAUUCCUAGUGUAGCGGUGAAAUGCGUAGAUAUUAGGAGGAACACCGGUGGCGAAGGCGGCCUGCUGGACUGCAACUGACGUUGAGGCCCGAAAGCGUGGGGAGCAACCAGGAUUAGAUACCCCCGUACA